AGGAGUGUCAGCGAGUGCCAGUAUGGAGUGCAUGUAAGCUCUCGUUUGAGAUGGGAUGGUUAUCCCUGAAAACGACAUCUGUUUUGGUCGCAGUGUGAGUGGUCCUCCUAUGCUGGUUCAAAGCACAUCAAGAGAGUGAAAUCAUACCUUCGAAUUGGAACCCGUGUUAAUAAAGAAGCAAGACUUACCAAUACUUAAAGAAGGUAAUUUCACUCCAGGCUAACCUGAACAUCGCCAGGAAACUUGCUGUCAAACGAGGAACCAU